rnacentral:rRNA from 1 species
AGAGUUUGAUCAUGGCUCAGAACGAACGCUGGCGGCAUGCCUAACACAUGCAAGUCGAACGAACCCUUCGGGGUUAGUGGCGCACGGGUGCGUAACACGUGGGAAUCUGCCCUUUGCUUCGGAAUAACAGUUAGAAAUGACUGCUAAUACCGGAUGAUGUCGUAAGACCAAAGAUUUAUCGGCAAAGGAUGAGCCCGCGUAGGAUUAGGUAGUUGGUGGGGUAAAGGCCUACCAAGCCGACGAUCCUUAGCUGGUCUGAGAGGAUGAUCAGCCACACUGGGACUGAGACACGGCCCAGACUCCUACGGGAGGCAGCAGUGGGGAAUAUUGGACAAUGGGCGAAAGCCUGAUCCAGCAAUGCCGCGUGAGUGAUGAAGGCCUUCGGGUUGUAAAGCUCUUUUACCAGGGAUGAUAAUGACAGUACCUGGAGAAUAAGCUCCGGCUAACUCCGUG